AUACUACUCCCUCCGUUCCGAAUUACUUGUCGCAGGUAUGGAUGUAUCUAAAUGUAUUUUAGUUCUAGAUACAUCCAUUUCUGUGACGAGUAAUUUGGAACGGAGGGAGUACUAU
rnacentral:pre_miRNA from 1 species